rnacentral:rRNA from 1 species
UGGUGUGAUGCGCAAGUCUAAAACUUAUAAGUGAAUCAUCGAAUCGUUGAACGCACUGCACCUGUCCUAUCCGGACCGGUAUGCCCCUUUGAGCGUCAUUAAACCUUCGGCACCCGCCGGGUUCGGGGUCCACCUCUGCCGCUUUCGCGGCGGGGGCGUUCCCUCAGAUGCAUUGCGAGGGCCGAGCCCGACGACCGCGUCCACCGUGUCAUGAGACAUGCACGGCGGCGCGGCGAACGUGAGGUCGCCCGGGACGUCGUCCGCAGAGAGACCGUCCGAAGCACACCCUUUAAAAUGUGACCUCACUGGGGUAAGACUACCCGCUAGACUUAAGCAUAUUAAUCAGCGGAGGAAAAGAAACUAACAAGGAUUCCCUCAGUAACUGCGAGUGAAGCGGGAUGAGCUCAAUGUGUGAAUCUGGCGGGGGGUAGCUCCCCGUCCGAGUUGUGCACUAUCGACGCUGGAUCUGCACCCGCACACCCCUCGGCGGAAGUCCGAUGAAACACGGCACCGUGGAAGGUCAAAGUCCUGUCCCUGCCUUGGGGUUGCGUGCCUACGACCGGCGCUCGUCGAGUCGCGUAGUUUUGUAUUGCUGCGCAAAUCGGGAGGUAGAGCCCUUCUAAAGCUAAAUAUUGCGGCGUGACCGAUAGCACACAAGUACCGCGAGGGAAAGGUGAAAAGCAACUAUGAAGAAUAGGUUGAAACAGCAGUGAAAGCGUUACCGGGAUAAGGGCUGGCGGAUGCUGGGAUCGGUGCGGCGUGCUUCAGUGCUGUCGCGCCGAACGGCUCGCGCGGGUUCGGUUGCAGGGAAAAGCGCCU